CUUCACCAAAUCAAUCUACUAAGAAGAGCAAUCAGCUGAUAUUAAAUAAAUCUACUGGUAUUAUGAUGCAUUGCUGUAUUGGGCAAUUUUACAUGUGCACUGUACACACAAAGGGCCUGUUUCUCACUUAUAUUAGGGUCCCUUUACACAAUCCAGGCAGUUUACACCCAUUUCAAGGCUCCUUUAAAUUGCUAGAGCAAUGAAAGGGGUAUUGAUGUAAAGGAAAAUCAGGCCAAACAGCAACAAUUUCAAAAUCCACUCUUAAAAAAACUGCUAGCUGCACUAUACAGACAAAUCAAGCCAGAAUCUAAUAGUCUUUGAGUUUUCCCUGUUUACAUGUAAUUAACCUCAGUCUGUUUGCUCUUUUCUUUUUCAAGAAAAACUCAAGAAACUGAACUGAGAACAAGCGAGAUCGUUGCAUUCUGAUUGAGUAGUUGCUGCCUGCCAGAACUUAUGAGUCUUGUCAUGGGGAAUUCCAGGUUAGACUUCAAAAAACAAAGAUCCUACAUACAGGUACAAUCAACGCCCCCUGGACAACCACAACUCUAGUCCUGGAUCAUUUCUUGAGAACAGCCAGCAACGUACAAUGAGCCAGAGUCUACACCCGCAGGAUAUAUGCAUUUUGGAAGAGAUCAAUCUCAAGAAAACCAGCCUGGCAGUGUAAGAUAUGCAGAUAACCUAGAUAUGAUGACUGAUACUCUGAAAGCACCUUAGAUAGGAAAAAAG